rnacentral:rRNA from 1 species
AGCGAACGCUGGCGGCAGGCCUAACACAUGCAAGUCGAGCGCCGUAGCAAUACGGAGCGGCAGACGGGAGAGUAACACGUGGGAACGUGCCCUUCAGUUCGGAACAACCCAGGGAAACUUGGGCUAAUACCGGAUACGUCCGUAAGGAGAGGGAUUUAUCGCUGAAGGACCGGCCCGCGUCUGAUUAGCUAGUUGGUGAGGUAACGGCUCACCAAGGCGAUGAUCAGUAGCUGGUCUGAGAGGACGAUCAGCCUCACUGGGACUGAGACACGGCCCAGACUCCUACGGGAGGCAGCAGUGGGGAAUAUUGGACAAUGGGCGCAAGCCUGAUCCAGCCAUGCCGCGUGGGUGAUGAAGGCCCUAGGGUUGUAAAGCCCUUUCGGCGGGGAAGAUAAUGACGGUACCCGCAGAAGAAGCCCCGGCUAACUUCGUGCCAGCCGCCGCAGUAA